GCAAGUCGAGCGGCAGCACGGGAAGCUUGCUUCCUGGUGGCGAGCGGCGGACGGGUGAGUAAUGCAUAGGAAUCUGCCCGAUAGUGGGGGAUAACCUGGGGAAACCCAGGCUAAUACCGCAUACGUCCUACGGGAGAAAGCAGGGGCUCUUCGGACCUUGCGCUAUCGGAUGAGCCUAUGUCGGAUUAGCUGGUUGGUGAGGUAAUGGCUCACCAAGGCGACGAUCCGUAGCUGGUCUGAGAGGAUGAUCAGCCACAUCGGGACUGAGACACGGCCCGAACUCCUACGGGAGGCAGCAGUGGGGAAUAUUGGACAAUGGGCGCAAGCCUGAUCCAGCCAUGCCGCGUGUGUGAAGAAGGCCCUCGGGUUGUAAAGCACUUUCAGUGGGGAAGAAAGCCUUGGGGCUAAUACCCUCGAGGAAGGACAUCACCCACAGAAGAAGCACCGGCUAACUCCGUGCCAGCAGCCGCGGUAAUACGGAGGGUGCGAGCGUUAAUCGGAAUUACUGGGCGUAAAGCGCGCGUAGGUGGCUUGAUAAGCCGGUUGUGAAAGCCCCGGGCUCAACCUGGGAACGGCAUCCGGAACUGUCAGGCUAGAGUGCAGGAGAGGAAGGUAGAAUUCCCGGUGUAGCGGUGAAAUGCGUAGAGAUCGGGAGGAAUACCAGUGGCGAAGGCGGCCUUCUGGACUGACACUGACACUGAGGUGCGAAAGCGUGGGUAGCAAACAGGAUUAGAUACCCUGGUAGUCCACGCCGUAAACGAUGUCGACUAGCCGUUGGGAGCCUCGAGUUCUUAGUGGCGCAGUUAACGCG
rnacentral:rRNA from 2 species